UGCCAUCUCAGUUGAUCUCAUAAUGACACGUCUGUACAUCAGGGGAAGGACGAUAAGAAACAAGAGCUGUUCAUCUUGUCUCUCCCUUUUUGGCUGGUUAACCAUUCAACAGAAUCAGAAGACAAAUUUAGGAACCCUGCCCUAGUCCUCUGGGCAAAGCAUUCCUCCUCCUCAGGCUAUCCUGACAACUCCAGCCUAUCUGUUGGCCCUCAUCCAGUGGCUGAUGGAAGCAGAGACAGACAUCCACAGAUAUACACUGAGCUGAAAUCUGGAAUUUAGUUGAAGAGAGGGAGGAAUGAAGAUCGAAGGAGUUUGUACCAGGUUGGAGAAACCUACACAAACAGUUGACCUGAACAAGAG
rnacentral:lncRNA from 1 species